rnacentral:rRNA from 1 species
CACGAACCGGACAAACGUUAUUCGGAAUUAUUGGGCUUAAAGGGUGCGUAGGCGGUGCCGUAAGUCGGGUGUGAAAGCCCACGGCUCAACCGUGGAACUGCGCCCGAUACUGCAGUGCUAGAGGGAGACAGAGGUAAGCGGAACUGAUGGUGGAGCGGUGAAAUGCGUUGAUAUCAUCAGGAACACCAGUGGCGAAAGCGGCUUACUGGGUCUCUUCUGACGCUGAGGCACGAAAGCUAGGGUAGCGAACGGG